rnacentral:lncRNA from 1 species
AGUGUGUUCCACAGUUUAGGUCAAACUCCACCACCUAUGCCACCGAACCUCUUCCCGCCACCUCCACCACCUCCUGCAGCUACUCCUGUGAGUCAAUCUCAACCUUACAAUCAAUCUAGACUUACUUCCACUAGAAUUACUUGUUUAGACUAUGAAAUCUCUUUACCUACAUUUGUGCAGAAUCAAUCGGCAGCGUCCAAUGCAGAAUCUUCCUGGGGGCAGUGGCCACCUGCACGUCCUCCUCAUCCUCCUCAGUGAAUUGUCAUUUCUGUGUUUCUGAUGCAAAACUUGUGAAUUACUUAUUUAGACGAG